GGUUGCGAUCAUACCAGCACUAAUGCACCGGAUCCCCAUCAGAACUCCGCAGUUAAGCGUGCUUGGGCGAGAGUAGUACUAGGAUGGGUGACCCCCUGGAAGUCCUCGUGUUGCAACCC
rnacentral:rRNA from 1 species